rnacentral:rRNA from 1 species
CUCCUUUGACCUUGGGGAGUCUAUAAGGCAAUGUGUUCUUCUAAUACAUGCAAGGCCCUGUAACUAUAGGGUCCUACUGGUGAGGAUAAAACGGAGAUCAUCUCGGUUAACGUAUUAGAAUAGGUGGGAUAGUGGCCCACCUGGUCGAAGAUGCGUAGUAUAGCCACACUUUCACUGUAACAAGGGGAAGACAUUUUGGCAGCAGUAGAGAAUCUUGUGCAAUGGGUAAACGCUUGACACAGGGUUUCACAC